AAAAACCUGGAAUGUUCGACCCCCCUGUUAUUUUGAACCUACAGCACUUUAAACGGGAUUCCUACAUUUCUGUAAUAUGUCAAGCCUCCAGUUUGCAGGGGAAGACAGAAAAGCAGAUGCGGUUGCCCACCUAGCAUUAGCUAGGAGUCAAAAUACAGGACCGGCAUUUCGGGGAUUCU
rfam:Clostridium sp. C105KSO13 isolate C105KSO131 genome assembly, contig: {contig169}